GCACCACAGACUUUAUACAUUGUGGUGGACAAAACAUGGCCAGAAAUUUAUCAACAUUUCUGCAAUUCAGAGAUGGAGAAAUUAAGGCAUUGAAAAGUCACUUGCCCCAGAUGACACAGCUAGUGGACAGUCGAGGAAAUGUGGGCUCUGGAGUUGAAUCACGAUCUAGAUUCAAAUCUUGGUCCUGCCAUUUGCUGGAGGGACAUGUUUAGGAGGGCAUCCCAGGAGAAGGCAGAGUCCAGGAGGCGGAUGUUGGGAAGCAAAUCCUGAACUCAUCAAGUCCCAUAGCCCCUUUGUCUAUGGACCUUCUGCCAGCAUCU
rnacentral:lncRNA from 10 species